CUUCGAUGGAUAGGGGUUCUGAGAGGAAGGUCCCCCACAUUGGAACUGAGACACGGUCCAAACUCCUACGGGAGGCAGCAGUGAGGAAUAUUGGUCAAUGGGCGAGAGCCUGAACCAGCCAAGUAGCGUGAAGGAUGACUGCCCUAUGGGUUGUAAACUUCUUUUAUAAAGGAAUAAAGUCGGGUAUGCAUACCCGUUUGCAUGUACUUUAUGAAUAAGGAUCGGCUAACUCCGUGCCAGCAGCCGCGGUAAUACGGAGGAUCCGAGCGUUAUCCGGAUUUAUUGGGUUUAAAGGGAGCGUAGAUGGAUGUUUAAGUCAGUUGUGAAAGUUUGCGGCUCAACCGUAAAAUUGCAGUUGAUACUGGAUAUCUUGAGUGCAGUUGAGGCAGGCGGAAUUCGUGGUGUAGCGGUGAAAUGCUUAGAUAUCACGAAGAACUCCGAUUGCGAAGGCAGCCUGCUAAGCUGCAACUGACAUUGAGGCUCGAAAGUGUGGGUAUCAAACAGGAUUAGAUACCCUGGUAGUCCACACGGUAAAC
rnacentral:rRNA from 1 species